rnacentral:rRNA from 1 species
AUUGAACGCUGGCGGAAUGCUUUACACAUGCAAGUCGAGCGGCAGCGCGGGGGCGAACCCUGGCGGCGAGCGGCGAACGGGUGAGUAAUACAUCGGAACGUGUCCUUGAGUGGGGGAUAGCUCGGCGAAAGCCGGAUUAAUACCGCAUAAGCUCUGAGGAGGAAAGCGGGGGAUUCGCAAGAACCUCGCGCUGUUGGAGCGGCCGAUGUCGGAUUAGCUAGUUGGGGGGUAAAGGCCACCAAGGCGACGAUCCGUAGCUGGUCUGAGAGGAUGAUUAGCCACACUGGAACUGAGACACGGUCCAGACUCCUACGGGAGGCAGCAGUGGGGAAUAUUGGGCAAUGGGCGCAAGCCUGACCCAGCGACGCCGCGUGGGUGAUGAAGGCCUUCGGGCCGUAAAGCCUGUCGGGUGGAAAGAACGGGAGGGGUGCAAAUAGCGCUUCUCCGUGACGGUACCACCGAAGGAAG